rnacentral:rRNA from 1 species
AUUGAACGCUGGCGGCAUGCCUUACACAUGCAAGUCGAACGGCAGCACGGGAGCAAUCCUGGUGGCGAGUGGCGAACGGGUGAGUAAUAUAUCGGAACGUGCCCAGUCGUGGGGGAUAACGUAGCGAAAGCUACGCUAAUACCGCAUACGAUCUACGGAUGAAAGCGGGGGAUCGCAAGACCUCGCGCGAUUGGAGCGGCCGAUAUCAGAUUAGCUAGUUGGUGGGGUAAAAGCUCACCAAGGCGACGAUCUGUAGCUGGUCUGAGAGGACGACCAGCCACACUGGAACUGAGACACGGUCCAGACUCCUACGGGAGGCAGCAGUGGGGAAUUUUGGGCAAUGGGCGAAAGCCUGACCCAGCAAUGCCGCGUGCGGGAUGAAGGUCUUCGGAUCGUAAACCGCUGUCGCCCGGGACGAAAUAUGACGGUACCGGGGGAGGAAGCCACGGCUAACUACGUGCCAGCAGCCGCGGUAAUCA